CACCAUCAGGUUCUCCAGGGAUUCCGGCUGGGGGAUUCGAAACAGAUAAUGCCUGAUGUCUUCAUUGAGCCCCUGGCACAGGUGGGCCUGCAGGACUUCAUCUGGCCAGCCCAAGAGAAGUGCCUGAGUUUGGGAAGCCGGCCUUCUUCGAUGGCUUGCAUCAAGAUCCUCUCUGCUACUCUCUGUUGGUGUUCAAUGUCUUGCAUUCGGAGGAACACCGAGAUGAUGGACUCCAUUGUGGCCAUGACUUGUUCCGGAGAGCUCCCGGGCUGACCCUCCUCUUCAAGGUUCUCCUCAUCUUCUUCAUCUUCCAGGCAUCCUGUUUGGACCCCACAGAACUGGAGACGGGUACCACCGUGCAGCCCCACAGCAGCCAGGGCGUGAACACUGCACCCUGAACAAUAAGGCCCUGCUGGAGGUGAGUGAGAGCUCCUUGUAGCAAGAGGAAGGACCAUCUACACCAGGUGGCCCAGCUCAGGGAUCUGCCUCUCCGGGAGGGCUUGGGGCCUGACAAAUGCCCUCUUAUUCUCUGAUGUCUUUGGACAAUCACCUAGGCUUCCUCUGGCUCUUGCUCUCCCCUGGCCCACCCUGCAUGCCUCUAGGCUAUGUAGAAGGAACAUUCUCUGUCCUUCAGAUUCAUCUCAAGGUCUGUUCUCAAACCUUCCAUUUAGAAAUUCCUAUUAAAAUCUAGAUCAAGCUACCCUUUGGGUCUUUGUUGUGACCCUCUACCCCACAACACUCAAGACAGACACCCCAGUCUCACCACUGUUAGUGUCCCAAGAUUCGGUCAGGUCAGCUCCUUGCUUGCCUCUGAGCAAGUGGCCCAUGGGGUCAGGCCUGCCACGGAGCAUCUAUGAA